rnacentral:rRNA from 1 species
UGCUGACGAGCGGCGGACGGGUGAGUAAUGCUUGGGAACAUGCCUUGAGGUGGGGGACAACAGUUGGAAACGACUGCUAAUACCGCAUAAUGUCUACGGACCAAAGGGGGCUUCGGCUCUCGCCUUUAGAUUGGCCCAAGUGGGAUUAGCUAGUUGGUGAGGUAAUGGCUCACCAAGGCAACGAUCCCUAGCUGGUUUGAGAGGAUGAUCAGCCACACUGGGACUGAGACACGGCCCAGACUCCUACGGGAGGCAGCAGUGGGGAAUAUUGCACAAUGGGCGCAAGCCUGAUGCAGCCAUGCCGCGUGUGUGAAGAAGGCCUUCGGGUUGUAAAGCACUUUCAGUCAGGAGGAAAGGUUAGUAGUUAAUACCUGCUAGCUGUGACGUUACUGACAGAAGAAGCACCGGCUAACUCCGUGCCAGCAGCCGCGGUAAUACGGAGGGUGCGAGCGUUAAUCGGA